AUUGAACGCUGGCGGCAUGCCUUACACAUGCAAGUCGAACGGCAGCGCGGGGCAACCUGGCGGCGAGUGGCGAACGGGUGAGUAAUAUAUCGGAACAUACCCUAGAGUGGGGGAUAACGUAGCGAAAGUUACGCUAAUACCGCAUACGCACUAAGGUGGAAAGUGGGGGAUCGCAAGACCUCAUGCUCAUGGAGUGGCCGAUAUCUGAUUAGCUAGUUGGUAGGGUAAAAGCCUACCAAGGCGACGAUCAGUAGCUGGUUUGAGAGAACGACCAGCCACACUGGAACUGAGACACGGUCCAGACUCCUACGGGAGGCAGCAGUGGGGAAUUUUGGACAAUGGGGGCAACCCUGAUCCAGCAAUGCCGCGUGAGUGAAGAAGGCCU
rnacentral:rRNA from 1 species